rnacentral:rRNA from 1 species
GAUGAACGCUGGCGGCGUGCUUAACACAUGCAAGUCGAACGGAAAGGCUCCUGUUUGCAGGGGUACUCGAGUGGCGAACGGGUGAGUAACACGUGGGUGAUCUGCCCUGCACUUCGGGAUAAGCCUGGGAAACUGGGUCUAAUACCGGAUAGGACCACAUUUUGGAUGGUGUGGUGGAAAGUUUUUCGGUGUGGGAUGAGCUCGCGGCCUAUCAGCUUGUUGGUGGGGUAAUGGCCUACCAAGGCGUCGACGGGUAGCCGGCCUGAGAGGGUGUACGGCCACAUUGGGACUGAGAUACGGCCCAGACUCCUACGGGAGGCAGCAGUGGGGAAUAUUGCACAAUGGGCGCAAGCCUGAUGCAGCGACGCCGCGUGGGGGAUGACGGCCUUCGGGUUGUAAACUCCUUUCGCUAGGGACGAAGCGCAAGUGACGGUACCUGGAGAAGAAGCACCGGCUAACUACGUG